rnacentral:lncRNA from 13 species
UCGCUUUAUCAAGGAUAGUCAAAAUGCUUGACUCUGUGCCUUUGACCUUGGUCCAAGAAGGGCCAAAGGCAACAUCAGAGCCUUUCUAGAGCAGGUUCCUGUGGUGCUCUCAUGUGGGAAGGAGCCAGCCUGACUGUGGUGUUGUGACAGCCUUUAUGGGAUGAGGACUUUUAAUCUGCAGAGUCACAUGUAAAUUUUUUCUUUUUUUUUCUUUUUUUGAGUAUUUAUUUCCUUUAUUUUUUCCUUUUUACUGGGUUAAUUUCUUUUUGAGAAUGCCAACCUGUCUUCUUUCACCUAAAAGUAUCUGGAAAGACGUUUCUUCCUCUUUGUCUAGUGAAAUUUAAGCUCCCAGAUGAUGAUAACGCUGCCGGCCCAGGACACCCUUUGAAUAUGAAGGCAUCCAGCAGGCGCCUGAUUAACCUCAAGAAUUCAAUAUUCACAUCAAGAAAAGGGAUAGUGUUGAUACCCAUCUCAAGAAAAUAUCAUGAGACUUAUCCAUGUUCAACAUACACCUGAAGCACAAUAAAUAUUAGAUUCUCUUUGCCA